UACAGAGGUCCCGAGCGUUGUUCGGAUUCACUGGGCGUAAAGGGUGCGUAGGUGGUGAGGUAAGUCGGAUGUGAAAUCUCCAAGCUCAACUUGGAAAUGGCAUUGGAAACUACCUUGCUGGAGGUUUGGAGGGGGGACUGGAAUUCUCGGUGUAGCAGUGAAAUGCGUAGAUAUCGAGAGGAACACCGGUGGCGAAGGCGGCCAACUGGACGAAUACUGACGCUGAGACACGAAAGCGUGGGGAGCAAACAGG
rnacentral:rRNA from 1 species